rnacentral:rRNA from 1 species
AUUGAACGCUGGCGGCAUGCCUUACACAUGCAAGUCGAACGGCAGCGGGCCUUCGGGUGCCGGCGAGUGGCGAACGGGUGAGUAAUGCAUCGGAACGUGCCAUUGAGUGGGGGAUAACGUAGCGAAAGUUACACUAAUACCGCAUAUUCUGUGAGCAGGAAAGCAGGGGACCGCAAGGCCUUGCGCUCUUUGAGCGGCCGAUGUCAGAUUAGCUAGUUGGUGAGGUAAAGGCUUACCAAGGCGACGAUCUGUAGCGGGUCUGAGAGGAUGAUCCGCCACACUGGAACUGAGACACGGUCCAGACUCCUACGGGAGGCAGCAGUGGGGAAUUUUGGACAAUGGGCGCAAGCCUGAUCCAGCCAUGCCGCGUGAGUGAAGAAGGCC